rnacentral:lncRNA from 1 species
AGUCAUCUUUUUAUAUUUUAACCAAGCAGUCUAUUAUGGGCAUCAUUAUGUAUGUUGAACACUGAAAUUUAUUUUUUACUUCACCAGUUCCCUGCUGUUGAACAACUGGGAUCUUUGUACCUUCCUUUAAAAAUUACAAAUAAUGCUACAUUGGUAUUAGCAUCUUUCAUUAUUGGAAUGUAACGUUUGCUUUUAACAGUGCUGAGGUUGAUUAUUAUUUAAACUCAAGAGUUUAAAUUCUGAGAAUUUCAAUAAUUUUAUUCCUUGAUAGUUUUGUUUAGUGUGAAUAUUGUUUCCUGUGAUUUGUUGAAACAUAUGUCUACAUCCAUGUUUGUACAAAGCGUUACUCUUUGGUUGACAGUUAUAUCAACUUUUUUUUCUACUCUUAAGCAGUGGAAUGUAAAUACUGCUAAUGAUAUGAUGUCACACCCACAGCUCAAAUUAUUCCCGCAUUAAAAUGGAAGACUUCAUUUAAAGUGAGCUUUUUUAAAUUUUUACUUAUUUAGAAAAGUCAUUCCAAGAAUGUCAUUUUUUAAAAAAAGUUUGAAAUGUGCCCAUUUAAAAUUUCACCUUGAGUGGUUCUGUAUGCCUUUAGAAUUCGGUUGUUUUAGGACAUUCCCGAACAUCAGUAUUUAUCCUUUGAGAUAGGAUAUAUAGUAUGAUCUGACAGUGGCUCAAAUUAGGCCUUGUUACCCAAUGUCCUUCUGUUUAAAUUCCCAAGAGUUAAAUUUUACCAUAGUAGCAACUAAAAGAAGCCUAA